rnacentral:rRNA from 1 species
GAUGAACGCUGGCGGCGUGCCUAAUACAUGCAAGUCGAGCGAACGGACGAGAAGCUUGCUUCUCUGAUGUUAGCGGCGGACGGGUGAGUAACACGUGGAUAACCUACCUAUAAGACUGGGAUAACUUCGGGAAACCGGAGCUAAUACCGGAUAAUAUUUUGAACCGCAUGGUUCAAAAGUGAAAGACGGUCUUGCUGUCACUUAUAGAUGGAUCCGCGCUGCAUUAGCUAGUUGGUAAGGUAACGGCUUACCAAGGCAACGAUGCAUAGCCGACCUGAGAGGGUGAUCGGCCACACUGGAACUGAGACACGGUCCAGACUCCUACGGGAGGCAGCAGUAGGGAAUCUUCCGCAAUGGGCGAAAGCCUGACGGAGCAACGCCGCGUGAGUGAUGAAGGUCUUCGGAUCGUAAAACUCUGUUAUUAGGGAAGAACAUAUGUGUAAGUAACUGUGCACAUCUUGACGGUACCUAAUCAGAAAGCCACGGCUAACUACGUGCCAGCAGCCGCGGUAAUACGUAGGUGGCAAGCGUUAUCCGGAAUUAUUGGGCGUAAAGCGCGCGUAGGCGGUUUUUUAAGUCUGAUGUGAAAGCCCACGGCUCAACCGUGGAGGGUCAUUGGAAACUGGAAAACUUGAGUGCAGAAGAGGAAAGUGGAAUUCCAUGUGUAGCGGUGAAAUGCGCAGAGAUAUGGAGGAACACCAGUGGCGAAGGCGACUUUCUGGUCUGUAACUGACGCUGAUGUGCGAAAGCGUGGGGAUCAAACAGGAUUAGAUACCCUGGUAGUCCACGCCGUAAACGAUGAGUGCUAAGUGUUAGGGGGUUUCCGCCCCUUAGUGCUGCAGCUAACGCAUUAAGCACUCCGCCUGGGGAGUACGACCGCAAGGUUGAAACUCAAAGGAAUUGACGGGGACCCGCACAAGCGGUGGAGCAUGUGGUUUAAUUCGAAGCAACGCGAAGAACCUUACCAAAUCUUGACAUCCUUUGACAACUCUAGAGAUAGAGCCUUCCCCUUCGGGGGACAAAGUGACAGGUGGUGCAUGGUUGUCGUCAGCUCGUGUCGGGAGAUGUUGGGUUAAGUCCCGCAACGAGCGCAACCCUUAAGCUUAGUUGCCAUCAUUAAGUUGGGCACUCUAAGUUGACUGCCGGUGACAAACCGGAGGAAGGUGGGGAUGACGUCAAAUCAUCAUGCCCCUUAUGAUUUGGGCUACACACGUGCUACAAUGGACAAUACAAAGGGCAGCGAAACCGCGAGGUCAAGCAAAUCCCAUAAAGUUGUUCUCAGUUCGGAUUGUAGUCUGCAACUCGACUACAUGAAGCUGGAAUCGCUAGUAAUCGUAGAUCAGCAUGCUACGGUGAAUACGUUCCCGGGUCU